CAGUCGUGAGGAAGGUGGUAGUGUUAAUAGCACUAUCAUUUGACGUUAGCGACAGAAGAAGCACCGGCUAACUACCGUGCCAGCAGCCGCGGUAAUACGGAGGGUGCGAGCGUUAAUCGGAAUUACUGGGCGUAAAGCGCAUGCAGGUGGUUUGUUAAGUCAGAUGUGAAAGCCCGGGGCUCAACCUCGGAAUAGCAUUUGAAACUGGCAAACUAGAGUACUGUAGAGGGGGGUAGGAAUUUCAGGUGUAGCGGUGAAAUGCGUAGAGAUCUGAAGGAAUACCGGUGGCGAAGGCGGCCCCCUCGGACAGAUACUGACACUCAGAUGCGAAAGCGUGGGGAGCAAACAGGAUUAGAUACCCUGGUAG
rnacentral:rRNA from 1 species